GGGGCUCGGCCUGGGAGCGUCUGCACCAACUCGGGGCGCCCCGGGGGGGACGGGGUGAAAGUGAGGGGAAUGCGCGCGGGAGGGGCGCGAGAGGGGUGCACCACUAUACCCUCCCCGCCCCCGGCGCUUGCCCCGCGGGCCCUGCGUGCACCCGCAGCACCACUCCAGGCUUCGGAGAGGGGUUUCCAGAUGUCGAUCGUGAUGCUGCUAGUCUGGGACCUCGCUUUGGGGAGCCCUGGCCUAACGAACUCCUGUUCAACCAUCAAAGCCCUGUUCACGUGCCUUCACCUGGUUUCCAAAUUCUCCUGGUUUUCCUUGUCCUUCACUGGCAGCUUCUGACCUAUAUCCUGUGCUGCUGCUGCUUUUGGUCUGUCUGAGCCCUGAACACUGGGGUGCCUCAAGCUGUGUCCUCUUAGCUCCCCUCUCCCUCAGUAAUUUCCUCCAGUCCCGUAGUUUGGAGCACCAACCGUAUAGCCUGAUGACUCCCAAAUUUAUAUGUCUAGCCCAGACUGCUCACUGACUCCAGAUGCUUCUAUCUCACGGCCACCUCAACAUUUUCAUUUGGAUGUUUAAUAGCUAUCUCAUACUUAACAGGUCCCAACACGAAUACCUCAUAGUCCUUCCCCAGUCUGCCUCCCCUUGCAUUUUUUUAAGUUCAUUUACUUAUUUUUUUUUUUUUGAGAGAGAGAUGGAGCAUAUGAGUGAGUGGGGGAGGGGCAGAGAGAGGGAGAGAGAGAAUCCCAAGUAGGCUCCAUGUGAGGGGCUGGAACCCCUCCCCCCAACCAUGAGAUCAUGAGCUGAGCUGAAACCAAGAGUCUGAGACUUAACCAACUGAGCCACCCAGGUGCCCUUCCCCUUGCAUUUUCCUCGAUUAAACCAACACUACACUGUAUGUUAACUAACUUGAACUUUAAAACAAAUUUUUUAAAAGAAUCUUUUUCCUCCAGUUGCUCAGGACAAAACACAUAGAGUUAUCCUUGACUCUUCUCUUCCUCUCAGGACAUUAUCAAACACCGCAUUCAGGAUUCAAGAUACAGCAGAUGCUAAGCCUCCACUCCAUUCCUAACCCAGUGGUCAGGGGCAUCCUUUCAACACAGAAAUCGGGCCAUCUGCCGUGUCAUUCCUUGGCUCCAGACUUGUGACAGCUUCCCAAAUGAGCAAAUCAAAACCCAGUCUUCACAAAGACCUACUAGGUCCUACAAGACCUGCCCCUCCCCUCACAUCUCUGACCUCAUCUACCCUGCAGCCACGUGGACCUCUCAGCUGGUCCUCAGCUCCAAGCUAGCUGUCCUCCCAGAGCUUUGCACUGGCUGUUCCUUCAGCUUGAAAUGCCUUUCCCUGGAAAUCCACAUGACUCACACCCACACUGCCUGAAAAGGUCUCUAUUCAGCUGUCACCUUCGAUAUGAGAAAUUUGAUAGCUUUGUCGCUAAAAACAAAAAAGCCCUUUUGAUCCUUUGAAAGUAAGCUUGGACAAAUUCUCAUGAGUUUUCUGUGAGCAAUGACCCAAAUGAUCUAAAAUUUCUUUAGGGUGUGUGUGUUUAUAAGCUUUGCCUCAGGUGGUAGCUAGUAACGAAUACCAUUUAACAUGCUCACUAUUAUAAAUGUUUUUUUUAAUAGAAAAUCUCAUUCAACUUUCACGAGGACCCUGGGGGGGGGGUCAAUAUUAUUAUUGCUCCCAUUCAACAGAUGAGGAGACUGAGGUGCAGACUUCAGUGAUAGUGAAACCCAUAUCUGCUUUAUUCCAAAAGCCUAUUCUCUCAACCGGUAGAGUAGCCUGUCUCCUUUGUCUUAUGUUCUGUUUUGAUUUCUUGCUCAGAUGGUGCUAAAUAUCUGAUUACUUUCAUCAAAUUACUCAAUGAAACGUGCAGAGACAGCUAGGAAUCCACUUGAAACCUCAAAACACUGUUUUCAACCAAGCAAGCUUUUAGCAACCAUCAAACUGGCACACCUUUUUCCAGGCAUCUGCAGAAUAUUGCAGUUUUCAGAUCGCCUUACAUUCACCUGCAGGUUCCAAGACUCAGGAAAAUGAAAAACGUCAAAGCCGUAAAGAGAUCUUCAAAAAUGUUUAAAUACGAAUUAAAACGUCAAGGCAACAACAUUUAUUGCUGCCUGUGGGAAACUGAGCCAUUACACAUAAACACAAAGUUAGUUGGAGUACAAUUUCCAUUUCACAGAGAAUUGCAGGAUCUGGAGCACAGAUGACCCU